rnacentral:lncRNA from 1 species
GAAGGCGUUGCCCACAAGCGUCCUUGGCGCAGCGUGGUGGCCGCAAGCUCCGGCAUGGAUAUCCUGGAUCAGCGCCUUUCCCUGUUCGAUCGGGAUGCAGCGCUGUAGGAUCCCCGUGUGACUUCGCUUGUAGAGCUCACGGUUGAUGACGGCGAAGGAUUUUGCACGGCGCGCGAUCCUGCGGGCUUCGAUUUUGUCUGCCGGGAGCGUGUCGUAGACAAGAUAGUCAAGGUACGGGUUUC